rnacentral:rRNA from 1 species
UACGUAGGCAGCAAACGUUGUUCGGAAUUACUGGGCGUAAAGAGUGUGUAGGCGGUUGGGUAAGUUUGGUGUGAAAUCUCCCGGCUUAACUGGGAGGGUGCGCCGAAAACUGCCUGGCUUGAGUACUGGAGAGGAUAGCGGAAUUCCUGGUGUAGCGGUGAAAUGCGUAGAUAUCAGGAGGAACACCUGCGGUGUAGACGGCUGUCUGGACAGUAACUGACGCUGAGACACGAAAGCGUGGGGAGCAAACAGG